CUACGGAACUCCUACGGGAGGCAGCAGUGGGGAAUAUUGCACAAUGGGGGAAACCCUGAUGCAACCAUGCCGCGUGUGUGAAGAAGGCCUUCGGGUUGUAAAGCACUUUCAGUAGGGAGGAAAGGGUGUAGUUUAAUACGCUAUAUCUGUGACGUUACCUACAGAAGAAGGACCGGCUAACUCCGUGCCAGCAGCCGCGGUAAUACGGAGGGUCCGAGCGUUAAUCGGAAUUACUGGGCGUAAAGCGUGCGCAGGCGGUUUGUUAAGCGAGAUGUGAAAGCCCUGGGCUCAACCUAGGAAUAGCAUUUCGAACUGGCGAACUAGAGUCUUGUAGAGGGGGGUAGAAUUCCAGGUGUAGCGGUGAAAUGCGUAGAGAUCUGGAGGAAUACCGGUGGCGAAGGCGGCCCCCUGGACAAAGACUGACGCUCAUGCACGAAAGCGUGGGGAGCAAACAGGAUUAGAUACCCCUGUAGUCCUCUUCGA
rnacentral:rRNA from 1 species